rnacentral:rRNA from 1 species
AUACGGAGGAUCCGAGCGUUAUCCGGAUUUAUUGGGUUUAAAGGGUGCGCAGGCGGCCAUUUAAGUCAGCGGUUAAAUCGUGGGGCUCAACCCCAUUCUGCCGUUGAUACUGGGUGGCUUGAUUGCGGUCGAGGUUGGCGGAAUUCGUUGUGUAGCGGUGAAAUGCAUAGAUAUGACGAAGAACACCGAUUGCGUAGGCAGCUGGCCAGACCGCAAAUGACGCUCAUGCACGAAAGUGCGGGGAUCGAACAGGAUUAGAUACCCUGGUAGUCCGCACAGUAAACGAUGAAUACUUGUUUUCGGCGAUAUAAUGUCGGAGGCAAAGCGAAAACGAUAAGUAUUCCACCUGGGGAGUACGCCGGCAACGGUGAAACUCAAAGUAAUUGACGGGG